rnacentral:rRNA from 1 species
UACGUAGGUGGCAAGCGUUGUCCGGAAUUAUUGGGCGUAAAGCGCGCGCAGGCGGCCUCUUAAGUCUGAUGUGAAAGCCCCCGGCUCAACCGGGGAGGGCCAUUGGAAACUGGGAGGCUUGAGUAUAGGAGAGAAGAGUGGAAUUCCACGUGUAGCGGUGAAAUGCGUAGAGAUGUGGAGGAACACCAGUGGCGAAGGCGACUCUUUGGCCUAUAAACUGACGCUGAGGCGCGAAAGCGUGGGGAGCAAACAGG